AUACGUAGGGGGCGAGCGUUAUCCGGAAUUAUUGGGCGUAAAGAGUGCGUAGGUGGCUCUUUAAGCGCAGGGUUUAAGGCUACGGCUUAACUGUAGUUCGCCCUGCGAACUGAAGGGCUUGAGUGCAGGAGGGGAAAGCGGAAUUCCUAGUGUAGCGGUGAAAUGCGUAGAUAUUAGGAGGAACACCAGUGGCGAAGGCGGCUUUCUGGACUGAAACUGACACUGAGGCACGAAAGCGUGGGGAGCAAACAGGAUUAGAUACCCUGGUAGUCCACGCCGUAAACGAUGAGCACUAGGUGUCGGGCCGUAAAGGCUCGGUGCCGGAGUUAACGCAAUAAGUGCUCCGCCUGGGGAGUACGCACGCAAGUGUAAAACUCAAAUGAAUUGGCGGGG
rnacentral:rRNA from 1 species